ACCGUGACAUGCUCUCCUUGCAAUCACCGGGUCUUAUGCGACACGUGUGUCAGUAAAUCAACGGAUUGUCCCAUGUGUCAUGUACAACGGACCAAUUACCGCUUGUAAUGGUGGAAACAUAUAGGAUUUUCAAAUUGUUUUAGUAUCUCGGAGUGCUAUUGACACUAUUGUUAGACAAGUUUUUAUUAUUGUAUCUAGAGGUCUACCCUACGUUUGAAAAUUUGGGAUAUGCUACGUCUUUCCUGUGCAUGAAUUUGGCUGUCUUUUUGGCACAGCUUAUGAUAGAAAGGUUGUUUAGAUAUUAUUUGUUCACAAGACUUCUCACCUUUUUGUGUUUAUUUCACAUUCUUGAAUAAAAACGUAAUUUUUUCAAUAUUACACAAGCAAAAAAAAAAACAUAAAAGAUAUUGCACUCUAAAUCAUGUAAAAUUAUAGUUAAAAAAUUACAAUAAGCAAUAGUGAGGACGUUUAUUUUAUUAAGAGUGGAAGGCGAGAGCUUUAUAAAAUUUGUAUAUAUACGUUAUUGGUUUGUGUUAUUGUAAAAAGCAAUUACUGUGUCUGUGAUUUAGUAAUGAUCAACUCAUGAACAUUUUUUAAGAGUAUUUUUGUCUAUGGACAUGAAUGUAUUUGAAUUAUGUUUAUUUUAUUUCUUAGUUUGGUUUCAAUUUACCUGGAGAUCAGUAUAGUGCUAUAAGAUUAACAAGGAUUUUUUCAUUCAUUCCAAAUAAACUUUUGUCCAUUUUGUAAUACUUACACUGUAUAUUUUCAUGAUGGUGAAAAUGCAAUGCAAAUUUGUAAUCUCAUUUCUUUUUUCAUCAUGUAAUAACAUUAGGGAUCUGCUGUUAAAAGUAUAUUCUGCUAAAAGAGAUUGCUGACUACUGGGUGUGUACUAAGAUAUAAGAAGACUUUAGUAGUUCAGUUGCAUUAAUGCAGCAACAGAACCAUAAUUUUGAUUUCAUAAUUUAACCUCACAGGUUUGUAAAGCCCAUACAGUCGCUGAAAUCUUUAUAAUUUAAUUUAUUGUCUAAUGAAGUAUGUAUUAUAAAUCAUAAUUUUCCUAGCCAUUGUUAAAAAUAAACAUGAACAUCACAUCAUUAUAUGGAUACUCUCGGAGUUUUCUGUUAGUUAUUGUAAAAAAUUUGUUCAUAUACAUUUGUACAUCGUUACAAGAAUUUAAGCUACUGGAUAGCUGAUAGGGUUUUAUAUUGGUUGUGCAGCUUGUGGAAUAUCUUCAAGUCGGUAUGUGAUGAUGUCAAGAUGCGAUGAAGAAUUAACUAUCACCUCACUAUUUCACUAUUGAAGUCGGACUUGCCCCCAGUUUAGUGUAUUACCAUAAAUCUAACAAAAUUUAUUGGAUAAUUUUUUCAUGCUCUGAUUUUUCUGAUCCCAAUUCCUGUGUAUGCUGGUUCAUACAUAUCAAAGGGAGGGAGUGAUAUCAUUUUUACAGAAAUUAAAAAGAUGUAUAUGCAGUAUUGAAUAUCACAAAAUAAUUACGGUACAAGCCUUUAUUUCUAUGCAAUGACAAGAAACCUUGUUGUCCAUUUGACAAGUUCACCCUCAUCUAGAUUUUUUUCUUUUGUUUGCCUUUUCUAGAUCACAAGGGUAUUUGAUUGUUAGUUAUUUCACAUUUUUCAUUAGAACUGGCUGGAAUUUAUAUCAAUUGCUUUCUCAAGAUGUGAGCGCAUGCGCUCGUUUUUGAAUUUAAGAAAUAUUUAUAAUCUGAAUGAAUAAAACAAUUUUUCCUAUUUUUUGGUUUACCAUAUUAGGCUGAUUUAGAAAAAUAGAUGAUAUAUGACAUAUGCAUAUCAAUAUAAUGCAUUGUGAAAUCAUUGAGAGGGUAGGUUUUAAGUGCACAAACAAGUGCAAGAUGCCCUUAGAAUUUUUAAACAUUAGUCUCGUGUGAAAUCUGAAAGAAAAGCACAGUUUAUUGAAUAUUGUUUGUUAAAAAAUGCAACAAGCCUACAGCUGGAAAUUGUGUUACUAGUUCAAGAGGACAUUAUUAUGGCAAGAGAUAUCGUCAUGUCCAGUGAAAUGUACUACCUUUCAUUGUGUCCAGAUAGUUAAAGAAAUGGUACUAAUAUGACAUUUCAACAUUUGACUGCUUUUUUAAUUCAGAAUUGUCAUAUGGUAUCUUCUUUCUUAAAAAAAUAAUUCUUGUACAACAAAAUAUAGAUUGAUAAUAAAAUUGCAUCAACAGC
rnacentral:misc_RNA from 1 species